UAGUGACAUGCUGCCAAGCUUGAGUUGGGACAUCCAAAGGCUGCAAUAAUCCUGGUGUAGCUCAGGUUUCAGCCUUACAUCUUGCACAAGUGUCACAGCUUCUCACCCAUUCUAUUACUGGUUUUAACAUAGCAGGCCAGAAAAAAUGUCUACUAAGCCUGACAUACGUGGCAUUGAUACCAGAGUGGCCUCCCAAGUGGAAAUUGUGAUAAAGAGCUAACAGAUGCUCCUUUAAAUGGCCUGUACUACAUACAUACAGCCUAUUUUUAUAGAAUAGCAACCCAUUUUUGAAUGAAUAACCAGGAUGGGCUUUGUCAUCAAUGGAAAGAUGGGAAAUCAAUUCAGUAGCUGUAGUAUCAUCAGUAUAACUAUGCAGCAGCAGUGACAUCCAAGUGGGCUGUAGAGAGGAGUGAUGAAUGGCCAAUAGAGUGCUGUCCAGAUCUGCAGGCCUUCUAGAUAAGACAUCAGCUGCUUUAUUUUCAGCUCCUCUUCUAUAUAAAAUUCUGUAUUGCAACCCCACUAAUUUAGAAACCUCUCUAAGUUGUAAAUUUGUAUGUAACCUCUGCUCAAGUAAG
rnacentral:misc_RNA from 1 species